ACCUACGGGGGGCAGCAGUAGGGAAUCUUCGGCAAUGGGGGCAACCCUGAUGCAGCGACGCCGCGUGAGUGAAGAAGUGUUUCGGUAUGUAAAGCUCUAUCAGCAGGGAAGAAAAAAGACGGUACCUGACUAAGAAGCCCCGGCUAACUACGUGCCAGCAGCCGCGGUAAUACGUAGGGGGCAAGCGUUAUCCGGAUUUACUGGGUGUAAAGGGAGCGUAGACGGCAAUACAAGUCGGAAGUGAAAUACCCGGGCUUAACCUGGGAACUGCUUUGGAAACUGUAUGGCUGGAGUGCUGGAGAGGG
rnacentral:rRNA from 1 species